rnacentral:rRNA from 1 species
CAGUCGCCACGGUAAUACGUAGGGGGCAAGCGUUAUCCGGAAUAACUGGGCGUAAAGGGUGCGCAGGUGGUUUAACAAGUUAGUGGUGAAAGGCAUAGGCUCAACCAAUGUAAGCCAUUAAAACUGUUUAACUUGAGCGCAGGAGAGGAAAGCGGAAUUCCUAGUGUAGCGGUGAAAUGCGUAGAUAUUAGGAAGAACACCAGUGGCGAAGGCGACUUUCUGGACGAAAACUGACGCUGAGGCGCGAAAGCCAGGGGAGCGAACGGGAUUAGAUACCCCCGUAGUCCCUGUCUCUUAUACA